rnacentral:misc_RNA from 1 species
UACGUAGGUGGCAAGCGUUAUCCGGAAUUAUUGGGCGUAAAGCGCGCGUAGGCGGUCUGUUAAGUCUGAUGUGAAAGCCCCCGGCUCAACCGGGGAGGGGCAUUGGAAACUGGUAGACUUGAGUGCAGGAGAGGAGAGUGGAAUUCCAUGUGUAGCGGUGAAAUGCGUAGAUAUAUGGAGGAACACCGGUGGCGAAAGCGGCUCUCUGGCCUGUAACUGACGCUGAGGUGCGAAAGCGUGGGGAUCAAACAGG